GGUACCAAAAACACUGAUCUGCUACCAAAAACCAUCAGGAAAUAGGUAGCUACAUCUUCUGAGAAAGUUUUGGUGGACCUAGUAGCUGGAAUAUCUGAUUCAUGUGCAGUCUCAAAGCUUUAUCCUUGUGAACGAUAUUCUUAUGCACAAACAGGCUGAGAAGUGACCGGAGGGUGGCUUCAAAUUUUACAUUGAUAAUCUGUACAUGUUUUUAAUAAUAUGUAAUAUUUAAGUUUUUUAAUCUUCACUUACAUGUUUAAUUUUCUCAUUCUAACAUAGAGAGCAUUUCCAUUUUCUUAAUAGCAACUUGAUUUCUUGUUUGGAUCCAGGGUUGGACCCAUGAUCAUCUACUAUUCCGUUGGUAUUAUUGGCCCUAAAUGAAAUGUGCUGCGUUUAAUUCUUA